rnacentral:sRNA from 1 species
UGUACUAAAAUAAAAGCAACGAUUAGCGCAGGCUCUGAAAAAGAGCCAUUCCCCUAAGCCCAGAACAGGAUAAGUUCUGGGCUCUUUUUU